rnacentral:rRNA from 1 species
CUUAGCAGGCGAUUCUUCCACGGCGCUCGAAGCGCGUCGUGGUAUUUCGCGUAUUGUAAUUUCAACACGAGCGGGGUCAAAUCCUUUGCAGACGACUUAGCUGUGCGAAACGGUCCUGUAAGCAGUAGAGUAGCCUUGUUGUUACGAUCUGCUGAGGGUAAGCCGUCCUUCGCCUCGAUUU